CUUUGUAUGUUAGUAUAACCUAAUCUAAAGAACAUGAUAAUAUGUUGGACAUGUAAUCAGAUGUUAUAUCAGGUUGUUAAUGUUCAUAUGGUUAAAUGAAAUGAUAAUUUGAUAAGUUGUAAAAGGACUAAAAUGUGAUGCUCAUAAGAAGAUGUAAUGUUGUUGAAACUUAAGAUUCGAGACUUCGGUCUUGUAAUAUGUGAUUUGUGGUAGUAAGCAAAACUUAAACUAAGUUAACAAGCUAUACUAAAAGUGGGAACUAAACUUAUAAAGUUAAUAUUAGUGUAACUAAUGAGUGUUGUUAAUACAUAUGGUAUGUGUGUAGGAUUUGUGGUGAACGUGGGUAGUGAUCGUUUAACCUACGCACGAGGCAAGUUCAUAAACCUUAUUUCUUUACAUUAAGCAAGUUCUCUAACCGUAAAAUUUAUUUGAGUUUAUCCUACUUUGAUUACAAUUAUGCAAGUUUACUAUCCUAUAUUAUUUAUAAUUUACGCAAGUUCUUGAAUUCUGUUGAGCAAAGUUUUUAACUUUGUUUCCUUAUUGGAAAUUGCAACCUUAGCAUACCAUUUUGUUCAAGUAAGGUUUAUUAUAUCUUUUCAAUGAUUUGAAAUUUAUUCUUAAAGCAUGACUUUGAUGCAUUACAUUAUUCAUGUAUGGUUUAUAACCACUUUGUAAUACGUCGUUGUUGAACCCUUGUAUUGUUAUUAAACUUUUGAAUCAACUAAUCCUUAGUUGAUGUACGUUGAACUCUAAAUUACCUUUAAAACUUUUCCAAACCAAACUUCCUUUGGUGUGGACUCGUAUGUUAAAACUUAGAUGAACAACCCUAUUAUAGGAGAUUAUUUACGCAGAAGCGUUAAGAUGUUUGUGCACAAUACAGAGGACGAAGGGCUGACCCCCCUAAGUACGAGAAAGAUGGUCCACAUAGUCUAACGAUUGUUAAAGGUUGAAGUAGAAAUACCUACAACCUGGGACAUAGUUCAUGGUCUUGUGACCCUCAGAUAAAUUCUAGUUUCAGUUCUUGUUUAUUAGUAAAGAGAAAAUUAUUCAAUGCAGUUAAGCUUAUUCAUUGCCAACUAUUAUGUUUUUUUCAAGUGAGCAUUCGUUAUGCUCACUCUUGCAUACAUAUCACCAUUGCAGCUAAGGUUGAGAAGGUUGACGAGGCAACCACCAGUAAAGGAAAAGGCAAGAUGAACAAGUGUUAAAGACUUGUUAUUUGUUUUAGAUUAUGUAUUCAGACUUAAUUUUUAAUUAUGUAAUGUAAUUAGUUAAUUUUUUGCAUUUGAUGAAUGUUUUAAGGUUAGAUAACCUGUGAUUUAUUGGUUUAAAUUAUGUAACCCUUUAAUGGGAAGAUUUAUUGCUUAAGUUUUAUUUAAUUUGGAUAGUUAGAAAUGAAUGUUUUGACAGUGAACACCAAAUCAUGUGGGAAUGAAGUACCCAAAUUUGGGGGUGUCACAACAAUGAUCCAUAACAUCUACUUGAAACAUGUGGUUGGACUUUUUUAUCUAUGUUUAUUUGGAUGGCAUGUACUUUAAUAAACAAUAAUAAAAGUAUUGAUUUUUCUUUAGCUUAUGGUACACACAAUAUUUUUUAAAAAUUUAAGGCAAC
rnacentral:lncRNA from 1 species